rnacentral:lncRNA from 1 species
AUGAUCAUCAUUAACACUCAGUUUAUCUCUUAGUCAGCCCCUGAUACUAAGAGAAAGCUAAAAAAGGCUGAAGAGGGUCAAAGAGGGCUUACACUCAGAUUUUUUAAAAAAACUGAAAAGAGAAAAUAAGUGCUGGAUUAAAAACAGCUAGAAAAGCUCUGAAGAAGAUAAAACAAAAUAGUAAAAAAACCCAAAAAAACAAUCCACUCCUGGAUUUAAGAGCCAAGGCCAGCACCAUGUUAUCAGCCUGAUGCUGUUGUAAAGGUCUGGAAUCAAAAACAAAGCCAGAAAACUACAGCUGUGCUCUACCAGACAUCAAGAGAUUUUACCAAAAAAUCAAGUUACAAAUUUUAGUUAACCGAUAAAUGUAUUUGUUUCAAAUUGAGUUGAUGUUUAAUUGGUGUGCUUAAGACAUUUCUUGUGCAUUGUAAAUUCUUGAAUUGCAAUUAUAGGGUUAACUUACUCUUUUCUGUACUUUGUUGAUGAAAAACUCAAGGUUACUACUGUUUUAUUGGCAGCCAGUUAAAUUUUAAAAUGUAACCAUCUGAGAACAGAAAAAAAAGGGACACUUUAAAAUUUUAACAGCUGAAGAUGAGUUUGUUAUAGAAGGUUUAUAGUGAGACGGAGGAAAAAUAUUUAAAAAGCUUUUGGAGACCAAAACUAAAAAGGUAACUGGGCUAUGAGGACAGCCAAUAUUUUAGCCCUGGCCCCUCAAGGUCAACAAAGAUCCAAGACAUAAGGGAACCUUCUCUACAGGAUCCUACCUCUUUGGAGCAGUUGGAGGUCUUUACCAAUCAGACAGUCGGUGAACUCAUUAUGGCCAGUUAUCAACCUUUUGCCACAGGAGACCACGCCAUCAUCACGUAGGACCCAGACCUGUUACCCUUUAUCACUGCCUCUGUGCUCACAGGAAGCAGCUACAAUAAAGAGACCUCUGCCCUUACUCCAUAAUAAUAUCAAGAGUCUGGAAUGAUAGAGUUCUCUGCUAGGUAAAAUGGCCCUGAGAACCCUGCAUCCUAAAAUGGCCCCUACCUACAGGAAACAAGUCACCUCCUUUUUUCCACCUCGCCCCCAGCCGUAGCCAAUCAUCUGCCACUACCACACUCCCCCAGCCCUUAUAAACCUCACCCAGCCAACCCCUGGUUGCUAUUCUCGCCAUUGUUCGAGACAGCCUGGCAGCUCUGCCCCUUAAUAAAAGCUUUAGCUUGGGUGUUCACAUUUUGGCUCAUUUUAUUUCUCUCAAUGAUAACCAGAAAAAGUGAUACCUUGGUUGUCGAAUGGUUCUAAAAAUUGAACUUUCCACUACUUGAAAAGCAAAGUUAAAAAAAAAAUCUGUUUGGUUUUGGUAACUUUGCUCCAUAGUCAAACCGAAAAUCCAAUAGGCUGAGAGUGAGGCAUGUGUCCUAUCUCCCUGUGAACACAAAGGGUGUCAUUUCGGUUUAAGCACCCCUCUUGCCCAGACUACAGGCA